CAGGCUAUGUUACUUCCGGUUGUACUCUUUCAAUAAACGUAAUUGAUCAGAAAGAAUGGGGGAGAUAAAAUUCCAGUUUGCUUGGAAGCUCAUCCGAGAGAACAUGCAGUAAAUGAAAUUGUAGUGCCUGGAAGUACUUUCAUGAUGAAAGAAACAGAACUUUCUUUGCGCAAGAGGGUCACAAACUCUUCGAUCUGUUAGGAUUUCUGGAAAGGUCACUGUUCUGGCUGGAAAUUCCAACUUUUGGGUUGUUGGCUGUGAAGAUGGAUGCCUGCAGGGGAAAUUUGUUGCAGCCACUGCGAAUGGAGCAUCUAUAGCGGAAACCCUUGUGCAAGAGAUGGGUUUCCAGUUUAUGCCUACCCCCGUGGUGGCGUAUCAUGGACAAACAGGAUGUAUUCACUCCAGACCAGCAGCUAACAAAAUGUAAACGAAGCCAGACCAAAUGUUGCAGCUCAUGUGCCAACUGAGGAAGUCAACUUAAUUGAAAUGGGGGAAGAAUUGGUACACGUAGAUGAGGCGACUUCUUUAAAUGUCAUAUCGGGAAGGCCAAGAACAAGAUGAAGUUCGAAGAAGCCAAAAGCAAAAUUCACAUGGUGUACACGCGGAAGCACACAUCAGCUUAAUUUGCAUAAUAUGAAGCAAGAUGAAGUUCGAAGAAAUUUUGUUUUUGUUGGCAGUCUGUAGUGUAACAAUCGAUAGAAGUGUUUUAGAAGUCGUUUAAGGCAUGUCUCAGUUGUUAAGGGCUAAUUGCUGUUGAACUUUUCAUAUCUGGAUUGUGAUCAACCUUUGACUGUAUCUGUUGAGCUUGCUGUUAAUAACAAACCUCAUGACAAAGUCAUGCUGUUUCUAGUUUC